rnacentral:rRNA from 1 species
GUAGGGGGCAAGCGUUAUCCGGAUUUACUGGGUGUAAAGGGAGCGUAGACGGCAGUGCAAGUCUGAAGUGAAAGCCCGGGGCUCAGCCCCGGGACUGCUUUGGAAACUGUGCAGCUAGAGUGUCGGAGAGGCAAACGGAAUUCCUAGUGUAGCGGUGAAAUGCGUAGAUAUUAGGAGGAACACCAGUGGCGAAGGCGGCUUGCUGGACGAUGACUGACGUUGAGGCUCGAAAGCGUGGGGAGCAAACAGGAUUAGAUACCCUGGUAGUCCACGCCGUAAACGAUGAGUACUAGGUGUCGGGGGUUACCCCCCUCGGUGCCGCAGCUAACGCAUUAAGUACUCCGCCUGGGGAGU